GUGGCUAUUGGGUGGUUGAGAAACAGUUGAAAGGAGUCUAGCCUGACCAGCCUUCUAGAAGGAACAUCUCCAGGAAACACUGAAAAGAAUCCAGACUCUGGAAUCCAACAAACCUUGGUUUGGAUGCAGGCUCUACCACUCACUCAUCGUGUUUCCUGGAGCAAGGCACUUACCAUUUCUUUUUUUUUUUUUUUUUUUUUUUAGUUUUUUAAUGUUUAUUUAUUUUUGAGACAGAGACAGAGAGAGCAUGAGCAGGGUAGGGACAGAGAGAAAGAGAGAGACACAAAAUCCAAAGCAGGCUCCAGGCUCUGAGCUGUCAGCACAGGGCCAGAUGUGGGUCUCGAACUCACGGAGUGCGAGAUCAUGACCUGAGCCAAAGUCAGAUGCUUAACCGAUUUAGCCACCCAGGCGCCCCAAGGCACUUAACAUUUCUGAAGAGCCAUUUCCUCAUUUGAAGCAUGAGGGUAGUAAUGGCGACCUCAAAGCAGGGCAGGAGGUGAAGGCCAGAGAUAACAUAUGUAGGCACCUGGUAUUAUAUGUGACAGGAGGUACAAAAUGAAGAGCAGCCAUUCUUGUUUGGAGACACCAGCCAAUUAAACAUGAGGGGUUUUUUUCCUAUUUGGUUAAGUACAUAUUUUCGUUAAGUUCCAGAUUAUGUAUAUUUUAACUCUGCAACGUGUUUAUAAUUCAACAAAACAUAAUUAAAACAGUGACUCGGGGUGAUCAUUUACACAUUCAUGUCAUUAGGAAAAAUCAGAACGUAUUACAAAAAGAUAACUUCUGUCGACAUUCAGGUUUGGGGCACUGCCCUGAUAGUUGCAAGUUGUUGUUUCUUUCUUAAAUUACAUGAAAAGAAUGUUUAAUUUGACGGAUAUUUAGUCCUUACAUGAAAUGGCAAAGCGCAUGAAAUCCCAGUUUCAACAUAUCCAUCGUGUAACGUGGCGAGUAUUCCUUCCUCGCCAGGGUAAAGCACAGAGCCAGCGAAUCGGAGUGGCAGUUGAAAACUACAAGUCCCCCAGAUGCCAGCAACAGGAAACGUGGAAGCAGGUCUCAGAAGACAGACACUCAACACGGGCCAAGCUCCUGGCCCGUGUUGAUCCGCACACUCCCCAUCCGAAGUGGCUGCAGGCCAGGUGCGUGACCACAACAAGCAAGAACUCCUUUUGUCCACUUCCUCCACGGGACAAGGCACGGACCUGUAUCUCAUCAGUUCACAGAAUGUGCUGGAUUCCAACGCUGGGUUCGUCCUUACAGACCGGGGAUGGAACAGCUUAACUUCUUUUGCUGGAAACCCCCGCGCCCCCAUCCUAUGGUAAUACGGAGCCAGCCAAACCUUGUUCCUCACUCGGGGCUGAUUUCUGGCACCACUCCCACUGCAGGACUCCAGCACUGACAGAGGUUAAUGGGUACCAUUUAGCCGCUCUCGGCAGCACUGGUUUGAUCUUCUUGGCUCUGAUACUCUUCCUCCUCUUGGCACAAGAAAAUUCAGCUUUUGCCCUUUAUCUUGUUAUCCAAGAGCCUGAAUGCCCAUGACAGCCAGGGAUGAAGAUGCUGCCCCUUCUAAGUCCUUGGCAGAGCGGGAGAAUUCAGCCCAAUGCAGGCAAUGUGCACUGAGCUCUUUCUUUCUCCCUCAACAGCCAGCUGGCCUGUUGCGGAAACCAAGGCCAAUCGGAAAAGACACACACGCAUAUGUGGCUGUGUUUUCUCCUCCACCACAAAAGACAGAGGAGCAGACAGGGGCCGGAGGAAGGAGUUUCUCACUCUCAGUAAGCAAAGAUGAUUAAACCUGCCCUGAUUCCGAAGAACCCUCGACCAUCCUGAGUUCCCAAGUCCUCAGAGGUGCAUCAGCCCACAGAGUUACACAUGAACGUGACUUUGGAAGAAAAACGUCAACGUCAACGUGACUGCUUCUCGGCAAACGAGUGCACAUGGGCUCCAAUCACAAACAAUGGAUCACUCUCUCCUGGAACACCGACUACUUUUUUAAAUCCACUCGGAAGGCUCCUGACCCAGCCUCAGACUCAGCAGAGAAGUAGGAAUGAGAGGGGCACAGAGAGGUUGGGGCCUGCAGUCAUCAUGGACCGUAUAGAUAGAGUCAAGUCCUAUUAUUCCCAAAGAUGCCUUAAGUCACGAUAGAGCACAGCACUGUAUCGAACCUCUACUGAGUGCACGCGGGCUUAUCAGUGCAUUGAGUGGAAGCAGUUUCUCUUAUAGCACUGGAACAGAUAGCUGUGACUUUGGUUAAGCACCAAAUAAAGGAGUUGGUUUGUAUUUAGGAACA
rnacentral:lncRNA from 1 species